rnacentral:rRNA from 1 species
AUACGUAGGGGGCGAGCGUUGUCCGGAAUGAUUGGGCGUAAAGGGCGCGUAGGCGGCCGCUUAAGUCUGGAGUGAAAGUCCUGUUUUCAAGAUGGGAAUUGCUUUGGAUACUGGGGGGCUUGAGUGCAGGAGAGGUUAUCGGAAUUCCCGGUGUAGCGGUGACAUGCGUAGAGAUCGGGAGGAACACCAGUGGCGAAGGCGGGUAACUGGACUGCAACGGACGCUGAGGCGCGAAAGUGUGGGGAGCAAACAGGAUUAGAUACCCUGGUAGUCCACACUGUAAACGAUGAAUGCUAGGUGUAAGAGGUAUCGACCCCUUUUGUGCCGGAGUCAACACAAUAAGCAUUCCGCCUGGGGAGUACGGCCGCAAGGUUGAAACUCAAAUGAAUUGACGGGG